rnacentral:lncRNA from 1 species
GCCCUUUACUAAACUGUACAAGAUCCAGCGAUAUUCUAGGCUUGAUCCCUGUGGGACACCUUUCCCUACACCAUGUCCGGGAGCCAUAAUUCCAGGGAGUUUGUAACCCUCUAGAGCGGGCCUCUGUUGCUGUUUCUUAGCAACAGACGAACUGGAAAAUGACCAGUACAAAAUGCACAGACUUUAACUACUCUACCUCCAGCUUACAUUCUACCAGGCCCUUAGUCCCACAGACAGGAACCAAAGCCAGCAGAACAAAGCAGCCCCAGAUGUGUUCUACUCUAUUAUCUGAAGUAAAUGAAAAUCAACCCUGAGGAAUGUGUAGACGGAAGCAGUUCAUCCUGGGAGGUGAGAAUGAGCAUUGAAAGAGCCAUCCGUGAAACCGUAAGGCUGGGAAAGAGAAGUGAAGGGGCACAUGGAAGUGUUCAUCUCUGGGGCAGGGAAAAACAAUCCGGAGAAGAUGAGUCACACCUCAUUUGUAACCCAUGAAUGAAAAUCAAUACUGUUACUUAUCAUAAAUUACACUGAACAUAGUGCUUACACUUGAGUAUCAAUGCAGUAAAACCACUAUGAGCCAAUUGAUUGACUUUUCUA